rnacentral:rRNA from 1 species
AUUGAACGCUGGCGGUAUGCUUAACACAUGCAAGUCGAACGGUAACAGGUCUAGCUUGCUAGAUGCUGACGAGUGGCGGACGGGUGAGUAACGCGUAGGGAUCUGUCUAGGGGUGUGGGACAACUCGGGGAAACUCGAGCUAAUACCACAUACGUUUUAGAUGUAAAAGUUUAAAGAAAGGCGGGUAGCAAUACCUGUUGCUCUUAGGUGAACCUGCGUUGGAUUAGCUAGUUGGUGGGGUAAAGGCCUACCAAGGCAACGACGCGUAAGGGGUCUGAGAGGAUGAUCCCUCACACUGGGACUGAGACACGGCCCAGACUCCUACGGGAGGCAGCAGUGAGGAAUAUUGCACAAUGGGGGCAACCCUGAUGCAGCGACGCCGCGUGGGUGAUGACGGCC